GAUGAACGCUGGCGGCGUGCCUAAUACAUGCAAGUCGAGCGAACAGACGAGGAGCUUGCUCCUUUGACGUUAGCGGCGGACGGGUGAGUAACACGUGGAUAACCUACCUAUAAGACUGGGAUAACUUCGGGAAACCGGAGCUAAUACCGGAUAAUAUUUCGAACCGCAUGGUUCGAUAGUGAAAGAUGGCUCUGCUAUCACUUAUAGAUGGACCUGCGCCGUAUUAGCUAGUUGGUAAGGUAACGGCUUACCAAGGCAACGAUACGUAGCCGACCUGAGAGGGUGAUCGGCCACACUGGAACUGAGACACGGUCCAGACUCCUACGGGAGGCAGCAGUAGGGAAUCUUCCGCAAUGGGCGAAAGCCUGACGGAGCAACGCCGCGUGAGUGAUGAAGGUCUUCGGAUCGUAAAACUCUGUUAUUAGGGAAGAACAAACGUGUAAGUAACUGUGCACGUCUUGACGGUACCUAAUCAGAAAGCCACGGCUAACUACGUG
rnacentral:rRNA from 1 species